AAUAUUUGUCCUGGUUUGGAGAAAUAUCUUUACUUUGAAUAUCAAUGUAACUACACAAGUAUGCCAUACAGAAAAAUUGCAAUCGCUCAGUAACAUGUGAAGGAAAAAGUAUAUCGGACGUUUGUUGUUCUAAUAAUCAAUAUAUGGUGAUAAAAGUUGCAGAAUAUCGUGGAUUGCGAAAAGGAAGCAUUUGUGGCUUCAGUUAUCACCACAUUUGUAGUGUCGAUGUAACCUGUGACCUUAAAAAUUACUGUGAUGGUGAAAGAGAAUGUAAUAUAACUGUUGAUGAUAAUCAUUUUCCUUCGAAUAUUUGUCCUGGUUUGGAGAAAUAUCUUUACUUUGAAUAUCAAUGUAACAACAAAAGUAUGGCAUACAGAAAAAUUUGCAAUCUUAUGGAUGUACGCCUGUCUAAGUCGAAUCUUCCGAACGAAGGUGUCGUGAAUGUUAUUACCAAGCUUCGAAACUUCACCAUUUGCAACAAAGGUCUUUUGCACAAAAUAAAGACGAUUAUUUGUAAACAACUUGGUUAUCCUACCGCAGUUUCUGUGGAAGGCUCAAUGUCACUAUCAUCUUUG